rnacentral:rRNA from 1 species
CCUACGGGAGGCAGCAGUGGGGAAUAUUGCACAAUGGGGGAAACCCUGAUGCAGCGACGCCGCGUGAGUGAAGAAGUAUUUCGGUACGUAAAGCUCUAUCAGCAGGGAAGAAAAUGACGGUACCUGACUAAGACGCCCCGGCUAACUACGUGCCAGCAGCCGCGGUAAUACGUAGGGGGCAAGCGUUAUCCGGAUUUACUGGGUGUAAAGGGAGCGUAGACGGCAGCGCAAGUCUGGAGUGAAAUCCCAUGGCUUAACCAUGGAACUGCUUUGGAAACUGUGCAGCUAGAGUGCAGGAGAGGUAAGCGGAAGUCCUAGUGUAGCGGUGAAAUGCGUAGAUAUUAGGAGGAACACCAGUGGCGAAGGCGGCUUACUGGACUGUAACUGACGUUGAGGCUCGAAAGCGUGGGGAGCAAACAGGAUUAGAUACCCCAGUAGUC